AAGAGAAGAGUAUAAAGAAUAAAACAGGGAAUGGUGUCAGUGCAUGUGAUAAAAUAUUUGGCCACUAGCUAGUGAAGGGGAGAACGGACUUAUGCAUGUGACUUUUUCAACUUCAGACGGAGCUCUGGAGGCAGCACCUGCGACGGAGCUCUAGAGGCAACACCUGCAAAUUUUCCCCUCAUGUGUUCCUUCCUCUUCGCGGAAUUUGAGGAUCUGCACUGUUUCAAUGAGGGAGAAAGAGUAUUAUGAAAAGAAAAUUGCUACUCUCAAAUCAUUUGAUGAAGUCGAUUCCAUAGUGGCAUCUGACAGCAACAUUAUUGAGGACAUUGACGAUGGGGAACAUCUUCAACAAGAAAGAGCUAUGAGGAUUUCCAAUUAUUCAAACGUAGUUCUAUUGAUACUAAAGCUGUUGAUUUAUUAGAGAGAAUGAGGGAGGAAAAAGCAAAAAAUGCAUACCAAUUUUUGACAUGUGGUGGCUUUAAAAGAGGUUCGAGUUAUGCCAGAGUGUACAAGCUGAGAUAGAUAUAGUUGCUAGGUCUAAAUAGAUAUUAGAUAAAGUAUAGUUAUGUUGUUCAUGAAUUAUUUUUACAAUGUGUUAGUCUUAGAUUGUGGAUCGUAAAUCUGAUGUAUUUAAGAAUUUUCAAUAUUUUAAAUUCUAUAUUUCUAUGUAGACAUUGUGAAUGUUUUGGUAUUUAUUUAAAAAA